CCUAACACAUGCAAGUCGAACGGUAACAGGAAGAAGCUUGCUUCUUUGCUGACGAGUGGCGGACGGGUGAGUAAUGUCUGGGAAACUGCCUGAUGGAGGGGGAUAACUACUGGAAACGGUAGCUAAUACCGCAUAACGUCGCAAGACCAAAGAGGGGGACCUUCGGGCCUCUUGCCAUCGGAUGUGCCCAGAUGGGAUUAGCUAGUAGGUGGGGUAACGACUCACCUAGGCGACGAUCCCUAGCUGGUCUGAGAGGAUGACCAGCCACACUGGAACUGAGACACGGUCCAGACUCCUACGGGAGGCAGCAGUGGGGAAUAUUGCACAAUGGGCGCAAGCCUGAUGCAGCCAUGCCGCGUGUAUGAAGAAGGCCUUCGGGUUGUAAAGUACUUUCAGCGGGGAGGAAGGGAGUAAAGUUAAUACCUUUGCUCAUUGACGUUACCCGCAGAAGAAGCACCGGCUAACUCCGUGCCAGCAGCC
rnacentral:rRNA from 1 species